rnacentral:rRNA from 1 species
UACGGAGGGUGCAAGCGUUAUCCGGAUUCACUGGGUUUAAAGGGUGCGUAGGAGGGCAGGUAAGUCAGUGGUGAAAUCUCCAAGCUUAACUUGGAAACUGCCGUUGAUACUAUCUGUCUUGAAUAUUGUGGAGGUGAGCGGAAUAUGUCAUGUAGCGGUGAAAUGCUAGAUAUGACAUAGAACACCAAUUGCGAAGGCAGCUCACUACUCAAUCAUUGACUCUGAGGCACGAAAGCGUGGGGAUCAAACAGG